GUGUUUUGGGGUCCCUGUUGUAACGGAGCUCCCAGUACUCCGACCGAGUACCCUCCGUUGAUGGACGCUUCCUAGCUUGCGCCGAGGACCACAAGCACCACACCAGAUACCACAACCACUGCAGACUCCGCAACCGCCGUAGCUUGACUGGAUCAGCUUCUGUCCUCCAGGACCGUGUGGGAAAGACCUCUUCCUUCCACUCUGUAUGAACUUCCAGCAUCCAGGACUGUGUGGGGAAGACCUCUCCUCCAAGGAGAGCGUAACAGGAGCAGCUCUUAAAAGAGCUAAGUGAUUAAGGCUCAAGGGAGUAUGCAGAGCAUAGCAUAGCUGGUGAUUUC